CGGGUUCCGCCCUCGGCCCUGGGAGACAGGGGUUUGCGGCGGCUCCACGCCAGUGGUUGAAGGAGCAGUGCAACUCUUCUAAAAUAAAACCUUAUGUGGAAUCCCAGAUAUAUGAAGUGAAUUCAGGAUUCACACUGCGGGCGUGCACGUGUGGCGAGUCUUCCUCACAGCAGAGUCACUAGCAGCCCAAGGUGACGGCCCUUCUUUUCAGCUCCGGGUCUGAGGCUCUGGGGGUGGAUACAUCAACGGACAAAACAGAGAUCCACUCCCUGGAAGAGCUUAUGUGAAAAGAUCAUACAUGAGAAGUCCUUCUUCCCCAAAACCAUAAAAUCCAGAGGCCAAUUAAAUCCACCCAAAACCGUGUGGAUUUACUUCUCCAUAGUUCAAAAGUGGAAAGCUGUCAUCAUGGGCAAUGUUGUGUUCUCCUACCUUUUUGAAGGUGACUUACAAUAUUCUGAAAAUAUCAGUCUGAAAUACGAUGUGGUCGUAAACCUGAGGGCUGCCCUUUGGGGCACGGGAGAACCUGAGCUCCCUACGCGGAGGGGCUGGGUGCUCAACAGAGGGAGCAAACAGGCGAAGUGAUGAGGACAUUUAAGUGGGAGAAGUAAAGUGAAAACAAGAAAGGAAGAAAACCUUAUCUUCUAGGACUUCGGUUGCGUUGUCUUUAACACAUACCCCAGACCUACAAGCCUUGGGACCAUCCUCCACCUGCUACCAAGGCCGCCCCGAUGCACGGGGGCCCUCUCUACCUUCCUCUGCAUCUUUACGUCCACCACUCGUUUCACAAGCUCUGACAUCAAAGCACAGGAGUUCCAAUCGAUAGCCUGGUUCCCUUAUUAAAAUAAAAAUUCUCAUAAAAUCAUUAUCAGAAUUUGUUUUAAAAAAGUAAACCUAAGAAUUUUUUUUUUUAUCAACUGUUAUGUCUGUGACUCCCCAAUAUACAGCCUCUGUCAGGCAUGAAAUGUGACAUAACUAACGGGGGGAGGGGGUGGUCAGCAGUUACUAGACGUGCCCUGGAGCAGCCAGUGUCCCCAGGUCACUGACCCUUACGUGUUGUAGCAAAUUUUUAUUUCGUUCAUUCAUUCACUUCAGACUUUCACUCAAGGAUGCACGGAGCACGGAACACGUGCCAGGUGCCCUUCUAGCUGCUGGGGAAUCAGUCAGCACAGCAAGAGGGACGAGCUCUCUGCUCUCAAGGAACUGACGUUUUAGCUGCAGGAGCAGACGGGAGUAAGGAGACAGGGUGAAGCGCCCUGAAGGUCGGGGCAGUGAGACGGGCGGGGGGUGGGGG